rnacentral:rRNA from 1 species
CCUACGUGAGGCAGCAGUGAGGAAUAUUGGUCAAUGGGCGCGAGCCUGAACCAGCCAAGUAGCGUGAAGGAUGACUGCCCUACGGGUUGUAAACUUCUUUUAUAAAGGAAUAAAGUGAGGCACGUGUGCCUUUUUGUAUGUACUUUAUGAAUAAGGAUCGGCUAACUCCGUGCCAGCAGCCGCCGUAAUACGGAUGAUCCGAGCGUUAUCCGGAUUUAUUGGGUUUAAAGGGAGCGUAGAUGGGUUGUUAAGUCAGUUGUGAAAGUUUGCGGCUCAACCGUAAAAUUGCAAUUGAUACUGGCAGUCUUGAGUACAGUUGAGGUAGGCGGAAUUCGUGGUGUAGCGGUGAAAUGCUUAGAUAUCACGAAGAACUCCGAUUGCGAAGGCAGCUUACUAAACUGCCACUGACAUUGAUGCUCGAAAGUGUGGGUAUCAAACAGGAUUAGAUACCCUAGUAGUC